CUGCCAUCUACAUGUCCGCACUCCCCUUCUGCUCCUUGGAGAUGAGGUGGCAUGUUUAGGAGCCUGGGCACUGCUGAAGGCACAGCUGCCACCACCGGGGUUCUCCCAGACUGGCUCCGUUCAUCUCACCUGUCACCUCCUGCUGAGCCCCCAGGCGUUAGUCCAGGUGCCCUCACCUCCAGUGACAUCCAUCCAGACACCAGCACUGACACUGGCCGUGCUCAGAACUGCCUCAGCCCUGAAGACACAACUGACAAAUAGAAGGGGGCCGUGCCCUGUUACAGCAGGUGCUCUCACUUAGUGGGUCCUUAUGUAACUGUGCGGUGUUAAUCAGGAUCGCCCAUUCUACAUUGUGUGGCACUGCUGAGUAAGAAUGGGGAGCAGAAGCUAAAACCAACCGCUUCACAGUGGAAGCUGCUGUUUUGUGCAAAACUGACCAAAGGUUGGAAACCAGUCAUCAGCGGUGCUGGCAAAUGAAGAGACUUCUGGAUUGGGUGGGACACUUGCUGUGACUUCCAGAUCCCUCCCUUUUCUCUGCUCUUCCUGUCCAUCUGUCUCCCUCCACUUUUCCCCUCCUCCCCUCCCCCUCCUCUCCUCCCCCUCCCAUCUUCUCCCUCCCUCGCUGCCCCACCUUCCCUCACAGAACCCAGAGGAUCGCUGGCCCUCCUGCGCAUGGGCAGUCAGUGCCAGCUGGACCCCGAGUUGGAAGCUCCAGCUCCGAGCCAGGAAUCGGCCCCAAAACCUUCUCAGCUCUGUCGCCCGGUAGGCCUUUGGCUCCUGCCCGGGGCCGGGGCCACCGGCUGUGGAAGUGCAACGUGGGGUUUCCCGGGAAAGGGGUCAGGCGACUGCGAGAGGGCGGUCUGCGUGUCACAGCCCCCCAGGGCGCCAGUCAGCCUGUGUUCAGCUGAAUUGCUCGGGCCAGACCCCUCUGCCUGCGCCACCUGCCCCGGGGCCCCGGCCAAACCUGUCCAGGGCCAGGUGUGCACCUGCCGCCUCUCACCCAGCCGGGCACCACUCAGUCCGCGGGUGGCGUCCCCUUCCCCUCUCCCGCCCGCGAGUCCUCUCCUCCCGGGCUUCCUCUCCUCGGCCGCCGGGCAGUCCCCACACCUGGGCGGGCUGUGUCCCGGGCGGGCGUGGUCUGCCGACCCGGAUGGGGGCGGGCGGCUGGGGCUGGGGCUGGACUCCGAGCGGGGCUGCAGCCCGCGUCCCCAACCCCCCGCUUUCCCUGCCCCGCGACCCCGGGGCUGCCCUCCUCUCCCUUUCCCGCUCCCUCAGGACCAGCUCAGUGGCGUGGGCACUGCUCCCCCGGCUGAGAGCCCCCGGCUGUAACGCCCAGCUUCUCCUAGUGGAGUCGGGAAAAGGGAUCCUCAGUGUUGAGCGAGCUUCUAUCUCCUCCCUCAGUGUUUCUGCCGCAGAUACCCAGCUUUCCCUGCACCAUUCAUUGAAUAGACUAUUCUUUCAAUGGAGUGUUGUUGGCACCCUUGUUGAAAACUGACUGUAAAUAUAAGGAGACUGAGGAUUAAGUCUUCUCUCUUUUGGGGGGAGCUCAUUAUCAAUGACUGCAAGUUGUAAGGAAAAAGAUAUUGAUUCAUCCUGAGAAAACAUUUUUCUGAGAGUCAGCAUUGAAGAGGGUGACCACUGAAGAGGGUGAUCAUUGUUCGAGUGAGACGAGCCCCGUGUUGUACGGAGUCAGCAUCCCAGUCCUGGACACGGUACUGUGCUGCGUGGUGGGUGAGGCAGCGUGGCCACGCAGGGAACGAGGAUGCCGUGCCGUUGGGCUGUGCUCAGGCCUGGCUCGAUGAGUUUCACUGGAGGGAAUUGAUCUUACAGAAGAUGGACUUAACUCAGGCCUCUUCAGAAUGGACAAAUGAACCUGGAGAAAGACAGUCAAAUCUGUGCAGACAUUGAAGUCCACGUGAACGUGCUGUAUCCCUGAGCCAAAGAUUGGACAAGUAGGCAGCACUUCUUGAGGACACA